UACGUAGGGGGCAAGCGUUGUCCGGAAUCAUUGGGCGUAAAGCGCGUGUAGGCGGCUCGGCAAGUCCGAUGUGAAAGCCUGGGGCUCAACCCCGGGACUGCAUUGGAAACUGCCCUGCUAGAGUACGGAAGAGGGGACUGGAAUUCCUGGUGUAGCGGUGAAAUGCGCAGAUAUCAGGAAGAACACCGGUGGCGAAGGCGGGUCCCUGGGACGUUACUGACGCUGAGACGCGAAAGCGUGGGGAG
rnacentral:rRNA from 1 species